GGGGAUGUAGCUUAGUGGCAGAGUGAAUACCUUGCAUGUAUGAAGCCCUGGAUUUACUCUCCAGGACUCCCCU
rnacentral:tRNA from 1 species